rnacentral:rRNA from 1 species
UCUCCUACGGGGGGCAGCAGUGAGGAAUAUUGGUCAAUGGGCGAUAGCCUGAACCAGCCAAGUCGCGUGAGGGAAGACGGCCCUAUGGGUUGUAAACCUCUUUUGUCGGGGAGCAAGGUCGCUACGUGUAGUGAUUUGAGAGUACCCGAAGAAAAAGCAUCGGCUAACUCCGUGCCAGCAGCCGCGGUAAUACGGAGGAUGCGAGCGUUAUCCGGAUUUAUUGGGUUUAAAGGGUGCGUAGGCGGGAGAUCAAGUCAGCGGUAAAA